AGAAUCAACGCUGGCGGCGUGCCUAACACAUGCAAGUCGAACGAGAAAGUGGAGCAAUCCAUGAGUAAAGUGGCGACCGGGUGAGUAACACGUGACUAACCUACCCUACAGUGGGGGAUAACUCCGGGAAACCGGGGCUAAUACCGCAUAACAUCGUAAGAUCAAAGGAGCAAUUCGCUGAAGGAGGGGGUCGCGGCUGAUUAGUUAGUUGGUGAGGUAACGGCUCACCAAGACGAAGAUCAGUAGCCGGCCUGAGAGGGCGCACGGCCACACUGGAACUGAAACACGGUCCAGACUCCUACGGGAGGCAGCAGUGGGGAAUUUUGCGCAAUGGGGGAAACCCUGACGCAGCAACGCCGCGUGGAGGAUGAAGUCCCUUGGGAUGUAAACUCCUUUCGAUCGGGACGAUUAUGACGGUACCGGAAGAAGAAGCACCGGCUAACUCUGCGCCAGCACGCCGC
rnacentral:rRNA from 1 species